CAAGAACAGAAAUAGACAGUCAACCAUUAAUCACCUCCGCAGCUAAAAAUAAUAAAGGUUGCAUGUACAAGACACUACCAACUCUAACCCAGAACAGGCAAGAAUGGAGAGCACUUGGGUUAACAGCGCAGGACUGGAUUUCUAUUUUCAGAGGGCUGCAGAAUAUGCAGAAGAGGAGAGAGGAGCAGAGCCAAAGAUCUUCUGAGAAUGCAACUUCAAUCUUCAAAGCCAGAAUUUCAAAGCACAAUGAGCAAGAAACAACAGGAACAAAUACAGAACAAAAGUGAGAUGUUGUUCUACUUUGGAUUGAAUGCACAGAUCAACCAUCAAAGUAAAAAGAUGUAGAAAGAGCUGGCUAGGAAUUGACUGACAUCUGUUUAAUUCACCCAAAUUGUAUUCCAGUGCAGAAAGACUUCAUAAGAUCAGCAAAAUGUGAUUGUCUUAAAUGGGAAUUCAUCUUACACAUUCAACAAAGCUUUGCUGAAUUCAAGUUUAUUUAAUCUUCUUUAGUACAAAAGAAAGAACAGCCUGAUUUCAUCACCAUAUGGAAAAAAGUAAUUGUUGUAACAAAUUAACAACACAAUGAUGGUAUUAUCCUUCACACUUGAUACCUAAUUAUGGUAAAUUUUUUUCUCUAUAAUCUUGUCUGCUGAUACAAGUAAACAUGUUAAUGUUUGCACUUGGCUACAUUGUUAUUUUGCUUUGUAAACUGUACUGCA